GACGAACGCUGGCGGCGUGCUUAACACAUGCAGGUCGAGCGGAAAGGCCCUUCGGGGUACUCGAGCGGCGAACGGGUGAGCAACACGUGAGUAACCUGCCCCAGACUUUGGGAUAACCCUCGGAAACGGGGGCUAAUACCGGAUACGACACAGCUUCGCAUGGGGUCUGUGUGGAAAGUUUUUCGGUUUGGGAUGGGCUCGCGGCCUAUCAGCUUGUUGGUGGGGUGAUGGCCUACCAAGGCGACGACGGGUAGCCGGCCUGAGAGGGCGACCGGCCACACUGGGACUGAGACACGGCCCAGACUCCUACGGGAGGCAGCAGUGGGGAAUAUUGCACAAUGGGCGGAAGCCUGAUGCAGCGACGCCGCGUGAGGGAUGACGGCCUUCGGGUUGUAAACCUCUUUCAGCAGGGACGAAGCGUAAGUGACGGUACCUGCAGAAGAAGCGCCGGCCAACUACGUG
rnacentral:rRNA from 1 species